rnacentral:lncRNA from 1 species
UGGAGUCGACUCGAACUUCCUUGGAGUCGACUCGGCUCUCAGUUUCUGAAAGUUGGUCUUCUGCCUUUUGACGUGAAGCUUGUCUUGGAGUCGACUCGAGCUGUCUGGGAGUCGACUCGAAUCUCAGAGGCAGUAACAUGGUUUUUUGUCUGUCGAUGGUCGCACAGUCUCGGAGUCGACUCGCGUAUUGCGGGAGUCGACUCGCGUAUUGCGGGAGUCGACUCGAAUCUCAGAGUCCAUAAAAUGCUCUCUGACCUUUUCUUUGUGUACCGCUGAGAGUCGACUCUUGCUUUCUCUGGAGUCGACUUGC